UACUUUGCCCAGUGGCAGUGUCAUAGCCAAUGAGAUUUAUCUGAUGUGUGAUUAUUGCUAAUCGAAAACUAAUCCUGCUCUGUACAUAACACAUUUUGCCAGAGUUACUCAACAAAUUUGUUGAUUCCAUUAAGGAGA